rnacentral:lncRNA from 1 species
GAAUUUUGAGAAGCCAGCCUUCAACUUAUCUGAUGGAUGAUUCGCCGUUGCCUUCAAGUUGUUUGCCUGCAUUUGUUGAGAUCUUACAAGUAUUGUUAUUAGAAUUUACAAAGAUGGUUGGGGUCCCACAACAAUCUGCUUUUCUUUUGUUAGAUGGUGCUCUCAGCUAUCUGGGAGAAUUAGCAAGUUAUUUUCCUUUCACAAAUCCUACCUCACCGAGUAAAGUUUAUACACAUGAGGGCAAUAGGCAAGUCCAUAUUGUUGCAAGGAAAGAGAGCAAAACUAACCUUACACGAAAGACAGUCGAGCACAAAGACACUGCAUAAAGGACCGUUUGAAGCUUGCUCUUCUAAUGAGAUGCACUACUUUUGCUUGAAUGAAUUGAAAACUAGGCUGCAGGUGUCAUUCAAAGCUUUUAUAGAGGGGCAAUCGGAGUUGCACCUUUUGUCUACUAUACAGGCCAUUGAGAGAGCACUAGUCGUAAUACAAAGGAUGCACUAUAAUCUAUGGCAUAAAAACAAAUAAAGAUGGGGGUGAAAUUUCAACACUUGUGGCAGCUGACAUUGAUUGCUCGGACAUGAUUCUUGAAUUUGUUUCAGGUCGGAAAGGCUUGAAGCUGAUCAAAAGACACUGUCAGAGCUUAGUAUCUGCUGUUUUCAACAUUAUUGUGCAUUUACAGAGCCCACAUAUAUUUUAUGUUAACUGGAGACGUAAAACAGUUGCCGGUACUCCAGAUCCAGGGUCAGCCGUUCUCAUGUGUGUUGAAGUGCUAACUACAGUUUCAAGGAAACAUGGCCUUUUCUCAAUGGAUGUGUGUCAUGUGGGUCACAUGUUACAUAUCCCUGCUGCAACUCCUACACAAGAGACAACAAUGUGCAAAUGAAAGAUUGUAACAACAACAUCAUCAUUAAGGUUUCAAUGUUCUCCUAGUGGUACUAUGGCACUUUUCAAACUAGUGUCGUUCACCAGAAAACCUUCACACUUGCAUUUGUUAAGGCUUCAUAGCCAUUCUCACGGUUUGGGAUGGCAAUGUCAACACCACAAAGGGGAACACCAUUCUUCUCCCAAUCCUUCACAGAUAUUAGAAAUUGGUUUCAAUAGGAUGCUUGUUUCUCUCCAUGAUUGAAGAAAUUUACGCAUCAUGGAACUAGCUGGCUUUUUGCUUUGCAUUCUAAUGAUUGUUCCGUCAACUGAUGUUGUGGAUGCUCUCAAAACUUGUGCCUAUUUGUUCAAGGAAUGCAGGCCAGAAUUAGCCAAGUGUCUUUCAAACCC